rnacentral:tRNA from 1 species
UAGGAAGUGGUGUAGUGGAAGCACCAAGAGUUUUGAUCUCUUAAGUGGGGGUUCGAGGCCCCUCUUUCUAA